rnacentral:lncRNA from 1 species
UUGAUGUCUCUUCACUGGCUAUAGAUGUUUUCCUGUUCUUUACUGCCAUCCAGAUUUUCUUGAACAACAAGACUGGAUAAGCAAGAACCACAUGGAAGGUAAAGAAGAUCAGAAAAUGUUUUCAGUGUCCAGCCAUAGAGUUUCAGUGUCCAAGCAGAACAGCACAUCAAGUCAGAAGUUUGCCUUCUCCUGAAUUUACCUUUCUGGGCCCUUUGAACUCCAAACACAAUCAAGGUCUCAGGUUGGUAGUGUUAAGAAGUGGGGAAGAGAAUAGUGAAAAUGGAAACUUGAAAGGAGCAAAUAAAAAGUAGUGUCAGAAUCAGAACCCA